GUAUGAAACAUAAAAAUAGAAGGACUACAAUCACUACAACAGAAUUAUGUUAUAGGGACACAUGUUUGGGACAUUUUUGUAUAAGUGUCACAUUUAUGCCAAACUUAAAAAAAAACCUACUAAUGCCUAAAUAUAAAGUCCAAUCCAACCAAAAAUAAAAAGAUACUCUACUCAACCCACCCCACCCAGCUCAUUCGGUCUGAUUACAAACAGAAGAGAAAAAGAAAAGAAAAAGAAAAGAAAAAUCGAUUACAAUUUCUCCUUCUCCCCUCACUCAAUUGACUGAAAUUCUAGACGAAAAUCCGUUCCUCUCGUCCUCCUCCGCCACCGCAGCCAACGAGGUAGAGUUCCGACGGUUGCUAAAUGCUUAAAUAAAUAUUGUUAAAUUAGCAGCACUCUUUUAGAUUAUAGCGACACUCUUUAACUGUCACUAUAUACCUAGCGACCCCACAUAUAGCAACACUUUUUAAAAGUGUCGGUAAUUUAGCCAGCAGCACUUUUUUUGACUUAUACCGAUAUUUAAAAGUGUCGCUAUAGACCGUUUUUGUUGUAGUGAAUAUAAUAAUGAACAAAAUCUAGAAUUAAUUUCAAAGAUAAAAAGGAGACAACAAGAAA
rnacentral:lncRNA from 1 species